AACGAACGCUGGCGGCAGGCCUAACACAUGCAAGUCAAGCGCACCCUUCGGGCGAGCGGCGGACGGGUUAGUAACGCGUGGGAACGUGCCCAGAUCUACGGAAUAGCCUUUGGAAACGAAGAGUAAUACCGUAUACGCCCUUUGGGGGAAAGAUUUAUCGGAUUUGGAUCGGCCCGCGUUAGAUUAGAUAGUUGGUGGGGCAACGGCCUACCAAGUCUACGAUCUAUGGCUGGUUUGAGAGGAUGAUCAGCAACACUGGGACUGAGACACGGCCCAGACUCCUACGGGAGGCAGCAGUGGGGAAUCUUGGACAAUGGGCGCAAGCCUGGUCCAGCCCUGCCGCGUGAGUGAUGAAGGCCUUAGGGCCGUAAAGCUCUUUCGCCAGGGAUGAUAAUGACAGUACCUGGUAAAGAAACCCCGGCUAACUCCGUGCCAGCAGCCGCGGUAAUACGGAGGGGGUUAGCGUUGUUCGGAAUUACUGGGCGUAAAGCGCACGUAGGCGGAUUAGUCAGUCAGAGGUGAAAUCCCAGGGCUCAACCCUGGAACUGCCUUUGAUACUGCUAGUCUUGAGUUCGAGAGAGGUGAGUGGAAUUCCGAGUGUAGAGGUGAAAUUCCUAGAUAUUCGGAGGAACACCAGUGGCGAAGGCGGCUCACUGGCUCGAUACUGACGCUGAGGUGCGAAAGUGUGGGGAGCAAACAGGAUUAGAUACCCUGGUAGUCCACACCGUAAACGAUGAAUGCCAGACGUUGGGCAGCUGCUGCUCAGUGUCACGCCUAACGGACUAAGCAUUCGCCUGGGACACGGUCCAAGAUACAAACUCAACCGAUUGACCGGCCCGCACAAGCCGGUUGUAGAGUUGGCUUAAUUCAGCAACGUCAGUAACCUUUACCUACCUCGACAUUCCCGAUCUCGG
rnacentral:rRNA from 1 species